rnacentral:rRNA from 1 species
GAUGAACGCUAGCGGCAGGCUUAACACAUGCAAGUCGAGGGGUAUUGGUUUUCGGACCAAGAGACCGGCGCACGGGUGCGUAACGCGUAUGCAAUCUACCUUUUGCAGAGGGAUAGCCCAGAGAAAUUUGGAUUAAAUACCUCAUAGUAUAGUACUUUGGCAUCAAGGAACUAUUAAAGUCAUAACGGCAAAAGAUGAGCAUGCGUCCAUUAGCUAGUUGGUAAGGUAACGGCUUACCAAGGCUACGAUGGGUAGGGGUCCUGAGAGGGAGAUCCCCCACACUGGUACUGAGACACGGACCAGACUCCUACGGGAGGCAGCAGUGAGGAAUAUUGGACAAUGGGCGCAAGCCUGAUCCAGCCAUGCCGCGUGCAGGAUGACGGUCCUANGGAUUGUAAACUGCUUUAUACAGGAAGAAACACUACUUCGUGAAGUAGCUUGACGGUACUGUAAGAAUAAGGAUCGGCUAACUCCGUGCCAGCAGCC